GGGCACAUAGCUCAGUUGGUUAGAGCGCUACGCUCACAUCGUAGAGGUCGCCCGUUCAAAUCGGGCUGUGCCCACCA
rnacentral:tRNA from 1 species